rnacentral:rRNA from 1 species
UACAGAGGGUGCGAGCGUUAAUCGGAAUUACUGGGCGUAAAGGGCGCGUAGGUGGUUAGUUAAGAUUGAUGUGAAAUCCCUGGGCUUAACCUAGGAACUGCAUCGAUGACUGGCUAGCUAGAGUACUGUAGAGGGUAGUGGAAUUUCCGGUGUAGCGGUGAAAUGCGUAGAGAUCGGAAGGAACACCAGUGGCGAAGGCGGCUACCUGGACAGAUACUGACACUGAGGCGCGAGAGCGUGGGGAGCAAACAGG